GCCUUCUUAGUAUAAAAGUAUAUCUGGCUUCCAACCAGAAGGUUUAAGAGCUAUCUUAAAGUAGGCA
rnacentral:tRNA from 1 species